GGCUCAGAGCGAACGUUAGCGGCGGGCUUAACACAUGCAAGUCGAACGAGAAUGAAGGAGCAAUCCUUCUAGUAAAGUGGCGGACGGGUGCGUAACACGUGGAUAAUCUACCUUCCGCGGGGGACAACAGUUCGAAAGGACUGCUAAUACCGCGUACGUCGGCGAGAACUCCGGUUCUUGUCGAGAAAGAUGGCCUCUCCUUGGAAGCUGUCACCGGAAGAUGAAUCCGCGGCCCAUCAGGUAGUUGGUGAGGUAAUGGCUCACCAAGCCUAAGACGGGUAGCUGGUCUGAGAGGAUGAUCAGCCACACUGGGACUGCGACACGGCCCAGACUCCUACGGGAGGCAGCAGUGGGGAAUAUUGGGCAAUGGGCGAAAGCCUGACCCAGCCACGCCGCGUGAGUGAUGAAGGCCUUCGGGUCGUAAAGCUCUGUGGAGAGGGACGAACAAGCCGGCCAACUACCGGCCCUGACGGUACCUCUUUAGCAAGCACCGGCUAACCAUGUGCCAGCAGCCGCGGUAA
rnacentral:rRNA from 1 species